UCCAGUAGAUCCGUCUACAGCAGAAGUCCUUGGCAAAUCUCCAGUAGAUCCGCCAAAGCCACAACGUCCGCCGGGGGAACUCCAUAAACUAUCUAUUUUGAUGAUGGAGCACGACAGAUCCUUAUUUUGAACAAACUUUUCGAUUGAUUGGCACUUUUAUCACUUAUUACUGAAGUGUGGAUGGCGUGUUUCUUUUAUGAAUACUGUUGUUUCUCUUUGGCAUGGAGAUUUGAAUAUGGAUAUGUAUUUUUCAUGAAUAUGACUGCACACAGGAAUCCUGGAUAAUCUUUUGACUGCAUGA